rnacentral:rRNA from 1 species
GACGAACGCUGGCGGCGUGCUUAACACAUGCAAGUCGAACGAUGAAGCCCAGCUUGCUGGGUGGAUUAGUGGCGAAAGGGUGAGUAACACGUGAGCAUCGUGCCCGAGACUCUGGAAUAACUACUGAAAACGGUGGCUCAUACUGGAUAUGUGCCAGGGUGCCAUCUCCUCUGGCUGGAAAGAUUUUUCGGUUUCGGAUUGGCUCACGGCCUAUCAGCUUGUUGGUGGGGUUAUGGCCUACCAAGGCGACGACGGGUAGCCGGCCUGAGAGGGUGACCGGCCACACUGGGACUGAGACACGGCCCAGACUCCUACGGGAGGCAGCAGUGGGGAAUAUUGCACAAUGGGCGCAAGCCUGAUGCAGCAACGCCGCGUGAGGGAUGACGGCCUUCGGGUUGUAAACCUCUUUUAGUAGUGAAGAAGCGCAAGUGACGGUACCGGCAGAAAAAGCACCGGCUAACUACGUG